rnacentral:rRNA from 1 species
AUGGAUAUCUUCCGACUGGAAUCUCGCGUUGCAUCCGUCGUGGAUUAUCUCGCAAGGCUGAAGGCCGCCACAUCUCGCAUCGACUCGACGCUCUGGCCUGAGGAGACACUUCAGAAUGACCUUGAGUCAUUAAUGGCCCGCUUGAACACGAUCCCUGGUCGAGUGCAGGAAUGGAAGAAGUCAUCAGCUCGGUGUGGUGCAGAUGUUGCUCUGUGUCUGGCCCGAGUCCACUGCAAGGAUGCACGAGAGGAGAAGCUGGCGGCUCUUCGGGUGGCCAAUACCAAGAAGCACGACUUCAGGUCCUUCAUGGAGACUUUCCUUGCAGCUGCCACUCGGAUCGCCGACGGAAUUGACCUUGAUGAAUUCGUCGCACCUUCCAGCCCUCCACAGGAGGGGUAA